UACGUAGGGUCCGAGCGUUGUCCGGAAUUACUGGGCGUAAAGAGCUCGUAGGUGGUUUGUCGCGUUGUUCGUGAAAACUCACAGCUCAACUGUGGGCGUGCGGGCGAUACGGGCAGACUGGAGUACUGCAGGGGAGACUGGAAUUCCUGGUGUAGCGGUGGAAUGCGCAGAUAUCAGGAGGAACACCGGUGGCGAAGGCGGGUCUCUGGGGCAGUAACUGACGCUGAGGAGCGAAAGCGUGGGGAGCGAACAGG
rnacentral:rRNA from 1 species